GACGCACGCUGGCGGCGUGCCUAAUACAUGCAAGUCGAACGCAGUGGGGACGGGUGAGUAACACGUGGGUAACCUCCCAUCAGAGGGGAUAACACUUGGAAACAGGUGCUAAACCGAUACUGAUGGAUGGACCCGCGGUGCAUUAGCUAGUUGGUGAGGUAACGGCUCACCAAGGCCACGAUGCAUAGCCGACCUGGGAGGGGGAGCGGCAACACGGGGACGGAGACACGGCCCAGACUCCUACGGGAGGCAGCAGUAGUGAAUCUUCGGCAAUGGACGAAAGUCUGACCGAGCAACUCGGCGUGAGUGAAGAAGGUCUUCGGAUCGUAAAACGCUGUUAUUAGGGAAGCGUUACCUAAUCAGAAAGCGACGGCUAACUACGUGCCAGCAGCCGCGGUAAUAC
rnacentral:rRNA from 1 species